GAUCGGCCCGCGUCUGAUUAGCUAGUUGGUGGGGUAACCGCCUACCAAGGCGAUGAUCCGUAGCUGGUCUGAGAGGAUGAUCAGCCACACUGGGACUGAGACACGGCCCACACUCCUACGGGAGGCAGCAGUGGGGAAUAUUGGACAAUGGGGGCAACCCUGAUCCAGCAAUGCCGCGUGAGUGAUGAAGGCCUUAGGGUUGUAAAGCUCUUUCGGCGGGGACGAUGAUGACCGUACCCGCAGAAGAAGCCCCGGCUAACUUCGUGCCAGCAGCCGCGGUAAUACGAAGGGGGCGAGCGUUGUUCGGAUUUACUGGGCGUAAAGGGCGCGCAGGCGGUCUUGAAAGUCAGGCGUGAAAGCCCCGGGCUUAACCUGGGAAUUGCGCUUGAUACUCUGAGACUGGAGUACGGGAGAGGAGAGUGGAAUUCCCAGUGUAGAGGUGAGAUUCGUAGAUAUUGGGAAGAACACCAGUGGCGAAUGCUGCUCUCUUGACCGUAACUGAACCUGAAGCCCCAAAGCGUGGGGAGCAAACAGGAUUAGAUACCCUGGUAGUCCACGCCGUAAACGAUGUGCGCUAGACGUUGGAAAGCUUUCCCUUUCCGUGUCCAAAGCUAAAGCGGUAAACGCACCGCCUGUGGGA
rnacentral:rRNA from 1 species